rfam:Candidate division WOR-1 bacterium RIFCSPLOWO2_02_FTLL_46_20 rifcsplowo2_02_scaffold_9807, whole genome shotgun sequence.
GGGCGUGUAGGUCAGUGGUAGACCGCUUCCUUCACACGGAAGAAGUCACUGGUUCGAGCCCAGUCACGCCCA